CKAACCRCUCCUACGGGAGGCAGCAGUGGGGAAUAUUGCUCMAUGGARGGAACUCUGAAGCAGCGACSCCGCGUGAAGGAUGAAGGUUUUCGGAUUGUAAACUUCUUUGACCGGGGACGAGUAAGGACGGUACCCGGAAAACAAGCCACGGCUAACUACGKGSCRGSRGSSGSGGUAACMCGUAGGUGGCGAGCGUUGUCCGGAAUUACUGGGUGUAAAGGGCGUGUAGGCGGUAGGACAAGUCAGAUGUGAAAGCCCGCGGCUCAACUGCGGGAAUGCAACUGAAACUGUACUACUUGAGUGUUGGAGAGGGAAGCGGAAUUCCCAGUGUAGCGGUGAAAUGCGUAGAUAUUGGGAGGAGCACCAGUGGCGAAGGCGGCUUUCUGGACAACAACUGRCGCUGAGGCGCGAAAGCGUGGGGAGCAAACAGGAUUAGAUACCCUGGUAGUCCACGCUGUAAACGAUGGAUACUAGGUGUAGGAGGUAUCGACCCCUUCUGUGCCGGAGUUAACACAAUAAGUAUCCCACCUGGGGAGUACGGCCGCAAGGUUGAAACUCAAAUGAAUUGACGG
rnacentral:rRNA from 1 species